GCCCCUGGUGGUCUGGUGGAAGGACGGACAGAAGCUGGACUUCCGCCUGCAGCACGGCACCUACCGGCUCCUGCCCUCCAACGCCCUGCUCCUCACGGCCCCCGGCCCCCAGGACUCAGCCCAGUUUGAGUGCGUGGUGAGCAAUGAGGUGGGCGAGGCCCGCAGGCUCUACCAGGUGACCGUCCAUGUGCCUCCCACCAUUGCCGACGACCAGACAGACUUCACCGUGACCACGAUGGCACCCGUGGUCCUCACGUGUCACAGCACGGGUGUACCAGCUCCGACCGUGUCCUGGAGCAAGGCAGGCGCCCAGCUAGGAGCUCGGGGGAGUGGCUAUCGUGUCUCGUCAUCGGGCGCCCUGGAGAUCGGUCAGGCCCUCCCCAUCCACGCAGGUCGCUACACCUGCUCAGCCCGCAACUCUGCCGGCGUAGCCCACAAGCACGUCUUCCUCACUGUGCAAGCCUCCCCGGUGGUGAAGCCGCUGCCCAGCGUGGUUCGGGCAGUGGUAGAGGAGGAGGUGCUGCUGCCCUGUGAGGCCUCGGGUAUCCCCCGGCCGACCAUCACCUGGCAGAAGGAAGGGCUCAACGUCCCUACGGGAGUGAGUACCCAGGUCCUACCAGGCGGACAACUGCGGAUUGCCCAUGCCAGCCCAGAGGAUGCUGGAAACUAUCUCUGCAUCGCUAAGAACAGUGCGGGCAGCGCCAUGGGGAAGACGCGGCUGGUGGUGCAAGUCCCACCAGUGAUCGAGAAUGGCCUCCCAGACCUGUCCACCACCGAAGGCUCCCACGCCUUCUUGCCUUGCAAGGCCAGGGGCAGUCCUGAGCCCAACAUCACCUGGGACAAAGAUGGCCAGCCUGUGCCGGGCGCCGAGGGGAAGUUCACCAUCCAGCCUUCUGGGGAGUUGCUGGUGAAGAACUUGGAGGGCCAGGACGCAGGCACCUAUACCUGUACUGCUGAGAACGCUGUGGGCCGGGCCCGCCGCCGCGUGCACCUCACCAUCCUGGCACUGCCUGUGUUCACCACGCUGCCUGGGGACCGCAGCCUGCGCCUCGGGGAUAGGCUGUGGCUUCGCUGUGCAGCCCGGGGCAGCCCCACCCCUCGCAUUGGCUGGACUGUCAACGACCGGCCAGUCACAGGUCUGGGUCUGCUGGGCAUGGGUGGGACAGAGAGCCAGGACCCUGGGAGGUCAAGAAGGGAGGGCAGGUGGGGAGACCCAACCCAGUGGAAAGGAAGAGGUUGUCAGCCAGCCCUGUUGGUUCUGGGUCUUCCAACGUGGUCCUAUGUAGGGGGACAGGGCAAACCCACCUGUGGCCAUAUGUGACAAGCCAUAUAUCAGAGCUGGCAAGAGGCCACCUGAGAAAACUCAACCCAGAGACCUCAGGGCCAGGAAGGGGAGGCCUGUGUUCUAGUCCAGAGCUGCUGCUCCCAUUAUGGGACCCUCAGCAAACCCCUUUUGCUGGGGGGCCGGGGGGACUCUGUCCUCCUACCGGAAACCCAGGUGAUGUCUAGGGAGACACAGGGCCUGUGGAGUACCUGCUGGGUACUCAAUGUCUGCUGAAUUGAUAAAUUGCUAAGUCCCCUCCACUGCAAAAUGAUACUUUCCUACAUUAGGAUAUGACAUCACACAUUCCUAACUCUGAGUCCCCAGGUGUGGAAUACCCACGCAUACCUGUGGUGAAGGCUUUUUUGGGCCCCACCACUUCCUGGGGAGGGACCUUGGGCAAGUAUAAUAGUUCGGCCUCUCUGAGCCCCGCUCUCCAUCUGUCAAAUGGACAUAACCAAGGGUCCUGAGGACAGAAUGACAAUGGAGGGGCCGUGCUCGGCACAGGCCUGGCCUGGAGUAGAUGCCCAACUGAUGGUGAUGCUUGUCCAUAUUCAUCUCCUAGAGGCGAUGGCCAACCCCAAAGGAAAAGUCCAUUGUUAGAAUCCUUCUCUCGGCUGGGCGCGGUGGCUCACGCCUGUAAUCCCAGCACUUUGGGAGGCCAAGGCAGGCGGAUCACCUGAGGUCAGGAGUUUGAGACCAGCCUGGCCAACACGGUGAAACCCCAUCUCUACUAAAAAUACACAAUUAGCUGGGCGUGGUGGCACAUGCCUGUAAUCCCAGCUACUUGGGAGGCUAAGGUAGGAGAAUCAGUUGAACCUGGGAGGUGGAGGUUGCAAUGAGCUGAUAUUGCGUCAUUACACUCCAGCCUGGGCAACAAGAGUGACACUGUCUCAAAG
rnacentral:sRNA from 1 species